CGCGGGGUGGAGCAGUCGGUAGCUCGCGAGGCUCAUAACCUUGAGGUCGUAGGUUCAAGUCCUGCCCCCGCAA
rnacentral:tRNA from 1 species